AAAGGGAGACCUAAUUCAGGUAUGGGACGAAAAAAAAGUAGUCGCUACCAAGAAUCAAUCCCAAAAGGUCGGAGCGAGGCGAAAUUGGCUUUCAAACUAGGUUCUGGGUUCAAACAAGACCUGAAUCAGGAACAAGGGCUAUUAGCUCAGGUGGUUAGAGCGCACCCCUGAUAAGGGUGAGGUCCCUGGUUCGAGUCCAGGAUGGCCCACCUGCACAGGUGGCAAAAACAAAGAAGCGAGGAAUCAGCACCUUAUCUUACUUACAUAGUAAGAGAGAAUGCUGGCUCUGAGUAAAGAGUCCAGAGGAACCUUGAAAACUGCAUAGAGCUAGGUGAAAAAGCCAAAAAAGAAGACCGCAAG
rnacentral:tRNA from 1 species